AGGCAAUUGGGGUUAAGUGACUUGCCCAGAGUCACUCAGAUGGAAAAUAUCUGAGGUCACAUUUGAACCCAGGACAUUCUAACUCCAGACCUGGAGCUCUGUCCCCUGUUCUACCUAGCUGAUGUGAACUUUAAAACUACUCCACCCUAAUCAGACCAUACUUUAGGGGAAGAUAAAGUUGUAAUCUCCUGAUUGCAACAAUGGAGAUACUUGGUCUAACAGAAUCAGGAAUGUCUUGUGAACUUUACAUUGCUCCACUCUACUUAGUCUAACAAGGUCAGGAAUGUCUGCACCCAUACUCAAAGAUUAAGUAUCUAGAAGGAUGGCCUUCAACAGACAUGUGCAGAAACAGCUGACAGACCCUGUGCUGUCCUAAGUCAAGCUAAGCUACCAUUGGUACAAAUGAGACGCAAGAAAGUGAUGUAAAACCGUCUAUAUAGGGUGCGUCACUUCUUCUCUUUGCUCUCUUUUCCCAGAGAGGUUGAUCUGGCUGGUGACUUCCUGUGAGCUGUCUGGGCACCAGUUUGAUCCUGGAAUUGGAGCCUGGAGGAGCUCCCUCCUUGAGACAGUCACGUGGGUAAUUUUAGGUUAAGAAGCAUGCUACCUCUCUGAAUCCAGAAAGUGAACGUUUUGGAGAAGAAACCAUGAAGAUGCCUCCACAGACCACAAGCUGCACCAGAAGAUCCAGAGUAAAUUUUGGGAUGUGCUGAUUUGAACUGUGUGGGGUUUAAAUGCAUUUGUUUUGUAUGUAUACUCUUAUGCUGAAGGGGACUGCCCUCUAACUGGCUUUUGUCAAUGCGCCAAUCAAUUAUUGGUUUUGUUCUCUUUUCCUCUUAUCCUCAAAUUAUUGUAAUUUCAUAGCUGUUUACAAGACCAUCGGAGAGACUAGUCUUCCUCAGGC
rnacentral:lncRNA from 1 species